rnacentral:rRNA from 1 species
CCUGCCCACUGAAUAAUUUAAAUGGCCGCAGUAUUUUAACUGUGCAAAGGUAGCAUAAUCAUUAGUUUUUUAAUUAAAAGCUUGUAUGAAAGGUUGGACGAGGUAAAAACUGUCUCUAUUUAAUUUAUUAUAAAAUUUAAUUUUUAAGUUAAAAAGCUUAAAUUUUUUUAAAAGACGAGAAGACCCUAUAGAUCUUUAUAUUUAUUAUUUUAUUUUUAAUUAAGAUUUAUUUAAAUUUUAUUAUAUUAAAUAUUUUAUUGGGGUAAUAAGAAGAUUAAAAAAAUUCUUUUUUAUAUUAUUCAUUGAUUAAUGUUUUAAUGAUCCAAUUUUAUUGAUUAUAAGAUUAAGUUACCUUAGGGAUAACAGCGUAAUUUUUUUAGAGAGUUCAUAUCGAUAAAAAAGUUUGCGACCUCGAUGUUGGAUUAAAGAUUAAUUUAGGUGUAGAUGUUUAAAUUUUUGGUCUGUUCGACCAUUGAAUCUUUACAUGAUCUGAGUUCAGACCGGUGUAAGCCAGGUCGGUUUCUAUCUUUAAUAAUUUAAUAUAUUUUAGUACGAAAGGACCAAAUAUAUAAUAUAUAAAUAUUUAAUUGUUUUGAAUAUUAUUAAUUAUUUUGGCAGAUUAGUGCAAUGAAUUUAGAAUUCAUAUAUGUAAAUUUUUACAAGUAAUACUUGUUUUAUAUAGAUAUAAUAUUUUCUUUUAUUUGUAUAUUAUUAUUAAUUAUUUGUGUAUUA